UACGUAGGGCGCAAGCGUUAUCCGGAAUUAUUGGGCGUAAAGAGCUCGUAGGCGGUUUGUCGCGUCUGCCGUGAAAGUCCGGGCUCAACUCCGGAUCUGCGGUGGGUACGGGCAGACUAGAGUGAUGUAGGGGAGACUGGAAUUCCUGGUGUAGCGGUGAAAUGCGCAGAUAUCAGGAGGAACACCGGUGGCGAAGGCGGUUCUCUGGCAUGUCCUGACGCUGAGGAGCGAAGUGUGGGAGCGAACAGG
rnacentral:rRNA from 1 species